UACGUAGGGCGCGAGCGUUGUCCGGAAUUAUUGGGCGUAAAGAGCUCGUAGGCGGCCGGUUGCGUCUGCUGUGAAAUCCCGGGGCUUAACCCCGGGCGUGCAGUGGAUACGGGCCGGCUGGAGGCAGGCAGGGGAGAAUGGAAUUCCCGGUGUAGCGGUGAAAUGCGCAGAUAUCGGGAGGAACACCGGUGGCGAAGGCGGUUCUCUGGGCCGAUACUGACGCUGAGGAGCGAAAGCGUGGGGAGCGAACAGG
rnacentral:rRNA from 1 species